UACGACGGGGGCUAGCGUUGCUCGGAAUCACUGGGCGUAAAGGGUGCGUAGGCGGGUCUUUAAGUCAGGGGUGAAAUCCUGGAGCUCAACUCCAGAACUGCCUUUGAUACUGAAGAUCUUGAGUUCGGGAGAGGUGAGUGGAACUGCGAGUGUAGAGGUGAAAUUCGUAGAUAUUCGCAAGAACACCAGUGGCGAAGGCGGCUCACUGGCCCGGUACUGACGCUGAGGUGCGAAAGCGUGGGGAGCAAACAGG
rnacentral:rRNA from 1 species